rnacentral:rRNA from 1 species
AACGAACGCUGGCGGCAGGCUUAACACAUGCAAGUCGAGCGCCCCGCAAGGGGAGCAGCAGACGGGUGAGUAACGCGUGGGAAUCUACCCAUCUCUACGGAAUAACGCAUGGAAACGUGUGCUAAUACCGUAUACGUCCUUCGGGAGAAAGAUUUAUCGGAGAUGGAUGAGCCCGCGUUGGAUUAGCUAGUUGGUGGGGUAAAGGCCUACCAAGGCGACAAUCCAUAGCUGGUCUGAGAGGAUGAUCAGCCACACUGGGACUGAGACACGGCCCAGACUCCUACGGGAGGCAGCAGUGGGGAAUAUUGGACAAUGGGCGCAAGCCUGACCCAGCCAUGCCGCGUGAGUGAUGAAGGCCCUAGGGUUGUAAAGCUCUUUCACCGGUGAAGAUAAUGACGGUAACCGGAGAAGAAGCCCCGGCUAACUUCGUGCCAGCCGCCGCCGUAACAC